CCUACGGGUGGCAGCAGUGAGGAAUAUUGGUCAAUGGACGGAAGUCUGAACCAGCCAUGCCGCGUGCAGGAAGACGGCUCUAUGAGUUGUAAACUGCUUUUGUACAAGGGUAAACCUGAAUACGUGUAUUCAGCUGAAAUAUCUGUCCGAAUAAGGAUCGGCUAACUCCGUGCCAGCAGCCGCGGUAAUACGGAGGAUCCAAGCGUGAUCCGGAUUUCUUGGGUGUAAAGGGUGCGGAGGCGGGUUGAUAAGUGAGAGGUGAAAUGUCCGAGCUUAACUCGGGAACUGCCACUAAUACUGUUGAUCAAGAGAGUGGAUGCGGGAGGCGGAAUGUAUGGUGUAGCGGUG
rnacentral:rRNA from 1 species